AUUGAACGUUGGCGGCAGGCCUAACACAUGCAAGUCGAGCGCGAAAGUUCUUCGGAAUGAGUAAAGCGGCGGACGGGUGAGUAAUACAUGGGAAUCUGCCUGGUAGUGGGGGACAACGUUUCGAAAGGAACGCUAAUACCGCAUACGCCCUACGGGGGAAAGGGGGGGAUCUUCGGACCUCUCGCUAUCAGAUGAGCCCA
rnacentral:rRNA from 1 species